AGGUCUCUAACAGCGAAUCCAAGACUGGGAUUUUUUUAAAGCUCUCUCCCCUUCCCCACCUUGAGUGUACAAUGGAGAGUGCUAGUGUGGUGUCACAUGGUGCAACAUGGCUCAGUGUUGUGUGAAACUAAGAGUCCCUGGUUUCUAGUACGGUGCCUGACAGAUAGAUGACUUUCUUUAUAUGUUGCUGAAGAAAGGCAGAGAGGAAGAAAGGAAGAGAGGAUAAAGGGAGGAAUAAACUUGAUAUAAGCAUCUUUGCAUAAUUAACAACUGGGUCAAAUUUUCUUCAUUUCAUUGAGAUUCUUGAUACAAGCCUCUGCUGAUGAAUUGGAUUCCAAAAAGCAGAUAUUGUUGUCCAGGCCACACCAUAUGGGACUUACCACUCCCAGUUGCUAACAUCUGCACGUAUUUGCCUGGAGGUCUCCUCUGGUCACCAGAGCCUACUCUGCCUGGGCCACAUGACAAGGUGAUGUGCUGAGGAACAAAAGCCCCCAGGAGUGUCCCUCAAGCAGUGUUGGACUGGAGUUGAGCAGGUCAUGAUCCACAUGAAAAACUGAGGGAAGACAUCCAGGACCUGCUGGAGAGCACAUGGAAAGAAGUUGGGGCACAGAAAAGGAAAGCAGCAAGAGUCGGGCAGAGAUUGAUCCCCAAGGAACUUGGAAUACCACGGGAAAGGUUGAUCGUCCUCGAAGAGAGAGAGAAACAAAAGAAAAAUGAAAAAAGGAAAGAAAUUUUCUCCACAAAGACUCAGAAAAGCUACAAUCCUAAGAAGUCAAAACUAUAAUGGGCUUGAGUUGAAGACUCCAAGGGUCUUUACAGUUAUGUGACCUGUCCAAGGUUACACAGCUCACCUUUUCAUUUUGCACUGGGCCCAAGUUAUGUAGCCAGCCUGCUUAGAGAUCUCUACUUACCCCAGUUUUCUGAUUUAUAAAACAAAGAUAAUAAUAAUAUUGUUAAAUUAAAUGAAGCCUAAAGCUGCCUCCCUAUGUAUUUUUAAUUUGGCCUAAAGGUUUCUUCGUACAGAGUGAACUAUAACCUGACUAGAUGUGUGAUCUACUCUUGUGCCAAUCAUCAAGUUUUAACCAAUCGAAGGGAGCCAACUGCUUAAACCAUGUUCAAAUAAGGCAAAUGUCCAGCUGUAACCACUUCAGCUGUUUCUGUGCCUCACUUCUGUCUUCUAUACAUCACUUUCCUUUUUCUAUCCAUAAUGUUUUUUGAUCAUGCAGCAGCAUGAAGUUGAUCUGAACCUACUUUGGUUUGGGAGACUGCCCAAUUCGUGAAUCAAUUAAACUGUUAAAUUUAA